GAUGAACGCUGGCGGCGUGCUUAACACAUGCAAGUCGAACGGAAAGGCUCCUGCUUGCAGGGGUACUCGAGUGGCGAACGGGUGAGUAACACGUGGGUGAUCUGCCCUGCACUUCGGGAUAAGCCUGGGAAACUGGGUCUAAUACCGGAUAGGACCACAUUUUGGAUGGUGUGGUGGAAAGUUUUUCGGUGUGGGAUGAGCUCGCGGCCUAUCAGCUUGUUGGUGGGGUAAUGGCCUACCAAGGCGUCGACGGGUAGCCGGCCUGAGAGGGUGUACGGCCACAUUGGGACUGAGAUACGGCCCAGACUCCUACGGGAGGCAGCAGUGGGGAAUAUUGCACAAUGGGCGCAAGCCUGAUGCAGCGACGCCGCGUGGGGGAUGACGGCCUUCGGGUUGUAAACUCCUAUCGCUAGGGACGAAGCGCAAGUGACGGUACCUGGAGAAGAAGCACCGGCUAACUACGUG
rnacentral:rRNA from 1 species